rnacentral:rRNA from 1 species
UAGGGAAUCUUCCGCAAUGGGCGAAAGCCUGAUGGAGCAACGCCGCGUGCGUGAUGAAGGCUUUCGGGUCGUAAAGCACUGUUGUAUGGGAAGAACAGCUAGAAUAGGAAAUGAUUUUAGUUUGACGGUACCAUACCAGAAAGGGACGGCUAAAUACGUACCAG